rnacentral:rRNA from 1 species
UACAGAGACUGCAAGCGUUAUUCGGAUUCACUGGGCGUAAAGGGUGCGCAGGCGGUCGGGUGUGUCAGAUGUGAAAUCCCGAGGCUCAACCUCGGAACUGCGUCUGAAACUACUCGACUAGAGUACUGGAGAGGGUAACGGAAUUCACGGUGUAGCAGUGAAAUGCGUAGAUAUCGUGAGGAACACCAGAGGCGAAGGCGGUUACCUGGGCCAUUGCUGACGCUGAGGCGCGAAAGCGUGGGGAGCAAACAGG